GGUUCGAUUCUGGUCAGAUUUUGAACGCUGGCGUGAUGCUUUACAGCAUGCAAGUCGAACGGCAGCACGGAUUUCGGUCUGGUGGCGAGGCGAAAUCGGAAAGAGUAAUGUAUCGGAACGUGCCUUAGUAGGGAUAAUUGCGCUGAAAGCGUAGCUAAUACCGCAUACGCCCUCUGGGGGAAAGCGGGGGACCUUCGGGCCUCGCACUAUUAGAGCGGCCGAUAUCGGAUUAGCUAGUUGGUGGGGUAACGGCUCACCAAGGCGACGAUCCGUAGCUGGUUUGAGAGGACGACCAGCCACACUGGACUGAGACAACAUGGCCCAGACUCCUACGGAGGCAGCAGUGGGGAAUUUUGGAUAAAUGGGUAGUAAACUCUGGAUCCAGCCAUCCCGCGUGUGCGAUGAAGGCCUUCGGGUUGUAGCACUUGGCAGGAAGAAACGGCACGGGGAUAAUACCCCGUGCAACUGACGGUACCGGCAGAAUGGCGACCGGCUAACUACGUGCCAGCAGCCGCGGUAAUACUAGGCAAGCGUUAAUCGGAAUUACUGGGCGUAAAAGUGGCAGUGUUAGGUUCUUUGUUAAAAGAUGAAAUCCCAGAGCUUAACUUAAACUGCAUUUUUAACUACCGAGCUGAGCGGCAGUUCGAGGGAGGUGGAAUUCGUGUAGCAGUGAAAUGCGUAGAUACGCGGAGGAACACCGAUGGCGAAGGCAGCCUUUGAUAUAACACUGACGCUCAUGCACGAAAGCGUGGGGAGCAAACAGGAUUAGAUACCUCUGUAGUCCACGCCCUAAACGAUGUUGCCAAAUUAGCUGUUGGGGCCUUCGCCUAUAGCGCAGCUAACGAAGUUGACCGCCUGGGGAGCAUGGUCGCAAGAGUGUUGAUUAAAACUCAAAGGAAUUGACGGGGACCCGCACAAGCGGUGGAUGAUGUGGAUUAAUUCGAUGCAACGCGAAAACUCAUCACCCUUGACAUGUCUUGGAAUCCUCGUGAAGAGAUUUGGGAGUACGAUAAGAGAACCGGGAACACAGGUAUGUAUGGCUGUCGUCAGCCGUGUCGAGAUGUUGGGUUAAGUCCUGCACGAGCGGCAACCUCACGCCAGUUGCCACGAAAGGGCACUCCUACGAGACUGCUAAGACAAACGAUACGACGUCAAGUCCUCAUGGCCCUUAUGGGUAGGGCUUCACACGUCAUACAAUGGUCGGGACAGAGGGUCGCCAACCCGCGAGGGGGAGCCAAUCCCAGAAACCCGACUGUAGUCCGAUCGCAGUCUGCAAACUGACUGUGGAAGUCGGAACGGUUAGCAAUCGCGGAUCAGUAUGUCGCGGUGAAUACGUUCCCGGGUCUUGUACACACCGCCCGUCACACCAUGGGAGUGGGUUUUACCAGAAGUAGUUAGCCUAACCGUAAGGAGGCGAUUACCACGGUAGGAUUCAUGACUGGGGUAAAGCUCUAACAAGGUAG
rnacentral:rRNA from 1 species